UUUCCAUUCCCCUCGAUGAUACACAAAAACCAUUACAAAGCAUAAGUAUUGAAUGUUUGGGUUUAUUUUGUGUUGCACUUAAUGUUAAAAUGAAAAGUUUGUUUGUUCUUUGAUUCUUCGAUACAAUCCCCCCAAACAACAACGGCAACAGCAACCCCUCCCGGGAAAAAGGAGGAGAGCCAUAAAACGGGUUUCAAUGCACGGCCAAGAAAACUAUAUGUGGAACUUUGAUAAUAUUCAGAAGAUGAUGAUGAUGAUGAUGGAUACUUUUUCUUCUGAAGUUCGAUGAAAUUUCGGAAUUGCAACCCGAAACUGAUAUAGAAAAUGUAGAUUCAAUUGGGAAAGCUUUUCAAAGCUUGGAAGAAAUCCUUCCCGCUCACACCUCCGAACAGUGAACAUGCCAUCAUUGGUCAGAUGAAAAAGGUGAAUAAUACUUUGAUGCCAACUAUUUACAAAAUUUUGCGAGCAUUUUGCAGCAUUCUGAGUAUUGGGUAGGGAUCAUAGCUUACGAGAAGUGGACAUUGUUAACACCGAAGAAAUGUUUACAAGCAAUAUACAGGAAGCAGGCGGCCGUUUAGUAGCCAAAAUAUUAAGUCAUUUCAGGGUUUCUGGACUAAACAACCUUCUGAUUUUGUCCUCGGAGUGACAGCUGUAGUAACAUUGCUGUAUUCGAUCGCUGCAAUGACGUACUACCAAAAUUUACAUGAACACUCAGGCAUGUGUCUUUGUUAAGUCCAAUGAAAAGUGAAAGAGGUGUGGCUCUGUUUCGAUGUGUUUUCGCAGCCUAGCUGUUCCACUUGCUACGGUGGUUUCCGGUGGGUUUCUGUCGUUGCCGAUAGUAUCGAGUCUAUGUAAAAUGGACGACAAACAAAUGGAGGGUUAAGCAGACAUAACAACCGGGAAAACUCGUAUCGCUCGUACAUUCUUGCUUAUUAACAGAAAAAAACACAUCGUUAUGGUUAUAAAAAUGUACAUUAAGCUAAAUGUCAGCCUUUUGCAAGAAGAAUUGUUGUUGGAGCGGAUAAUUCAUUGCCACAUGUCCCUAUGACGAAGAAUGACUGCAGCUUUUUUGAACACAUUUCUUCACGUUGAAACGGUUGACAUGCAGGAUGGGAACAAACGAAACCAAAUGCGGACUGCUGAUCAAGUGUGAUACUGGACAAAGAUGUAACAGUAUCAAAAGAUUGGAUCUAUGUUUUAAGCCAUCGGGUGCAUAUGUUGGCAGCCUUCAAACUAAAAGAAUCCCAAAAUUAAAACUACAAUUUAGUAAUGUUGAUUUUUGAGAACUUUGUAUUUAUUUUUUUACAAGAAAUGAGUCGAAAAUAUGAUAUUAUCAAUAACUUGAAGAAUAGCAACUUCGAAAUGUUUUAAUGAAGACAUAAUGAAAUAUAAAUUAUUAUCAAAUCUUCAUGAUUUUCAUUUGUGAACUCUGCAAUUAAGGCAAUUUGUUGAAAUGAAAAUAUUAUUUUCGUUUUUUUUUUUUUAAAUAGGUUUCGAAAUAAGAACAAGGCACUUCAAAAAGAGUAAAAUUGACGAUAGAACAAAGCCUGCAAACAGUAUUUUUUGUCGGUCAAUGUGACCUAGAUAUCUCUAAUAAUGUUCAGCACAGGUUUAUUAUCAUUUUUUGAAAACUGUACAAUUUUAAUUCGUUGAAUAUGGUUAAAUAAUCAUCUAAUACGUAAUUCCAAAACACUGAUCAAUUGACCUUGGUUUCUCAUUUACUUGAGCAGUGGAGAUCUUUCGAGUUUCAAAACUGUUCUAGAAUUUGACCUUAUAAACAGAUACAGCGUAGUUUCGAAAUACAGAUCAAUUGCAUGUUCUCUAUUUUUAGGUAUAUUCAAGGGUAUUCGUGACAUCGGUUUUUAAAAUUUUAAACAAGAUCACUUGAAUAUGCAAAGUGGCAUAUCUGAUCGUUUUGUGAAAAUCAUUUUCGGGAAAAGUGCGUAGGUCGAUAUUAGAUAGUUUAUAAAGCCCAGCCGCCCUCGGGCAACAUGAUAGCGAUUGCCUGCAGUCUGUUGUAAUCUUCAGCAAGAAUGGCUACGUUUUUAUGAGAUACAACUAUUGCAACCAAAUAUUAUAUUUAAAGCUCAUGACUUUGGUUACCAGCCAUCAUGAUAAGCACUUCUUCCUUUUUUGAUGAAGCUAGAAAGGAAUUUAGCGGUUUGCAACAAAAUUAUAAUAAAGAAGAUGCAGCCUCAAUUGAGGCAGCUAUUCAACGCAUUGAACAAACUCUUCCCGCUGAAGCCUCCCAACAUGGAACAUGUUAUCAUUGCUCUGAAGAGAAGAGAGUGACUGAUACUUCUAUGCUAAAACGCGGACAGCACAUAACAACUCCAGGAGGAAAGACACGCAAAAUAAGAAGUCGGGUUCCAAAAUUUCCUUUUCUGUACAAACACCAUGCCAUUAUAACAAAGGUAGUUGUCGAGGAUGAGCAUAGGGUCCGCUUAGGAACAAUACAUGUAAAUAACAAGGAGCGUCACGUUACGGAGAAAGAUGUUUGCUAUGACCUCCGGGAAGAUUACGUAUGGAUUGUAAACUAUAAGAGAGUGCAACGUACAUAUGAAGAUGUCGCACAAGCAGCUGAAAAACAACUAGCGAAUGCGGAGCCGAAUAGAUACAAUGCAUUUAAAAGAAAUUGUGAGCAUUUCGCAUCAUGCUGUGUAUAAGGAAGAGAUCACAGCUUACAAGUGGAUUCCAUUUUUAGCAGAGCAACACAAACCGCAAACAAACUGCAGGGACCAGGCGGUCGUUUAAUAGCCAGAAUAGUAGCUAAAUUCACUUCAGAGUUUCUGGACGAAAUUGCCUUAGGAGUAACGGCUUCAAAAUGUAUUUCUGGAAUUGUCCUCGGAGGGACAGCUGUAGUAACGUUGCUGUACUCCAUUGUUAUGACAAUGUACUACCGAGACUUGCAUAAAAGCUCAGAAAUGUGUCCUUGUUGUCUACGCAGGAAAGUGUUGGAGGUGUGGCUCGGUUUUGCGGUGUUCGCCUCAACAUCUGCUGCUACUUUCUGCAUGCUAAAUCUAGCUAUCCCUCUUGCUACAGUGGUUACCAGUGGACUUACUGUCGUUGUGAUACUUCUGUCACUGUACACUCAGUGGGAAAUGCCGAAGAUCGUGCGGGCAAUCUACAGUCCAUUUGACAUCGAGGGCAAACGAGUGAUAACUCUUGAAGAGAUACAUCUCGGUGAAGUCGUGUCGUUUGAGUACUGGUUCUUCAAACAUUAUGGCAUAGUAACAGAAAAAACAUCUUCUGGGGUAAAAAUUGUACAUUAUUCCACAAGUCAUCCUUUUGCAACAAGAACAAUUGUUGAAGAGAAGUACGCACUGUCACAUACCCCCAUGAUGAAAUAUGACUGCAGCCAUUUGGAAAGAUAUACUCCAGAAGAAACGGUUAGACGUGCAAGGAUGAGAAUAAACGAAACCAAAUGGGGACCGGUGGUAAAUAGAUCAGAUCAGAUGUGCUACUGGGCAAAGAUUCUACAGUUUCAACCUACUUACGGAAAUGCCCACAGUAGUCUACCAGUCGAAAUGAUGCUAGGAACAACUCAUAUACAUCUUGCAAGCGAAAUUGAGGUCGGAGACCAUGCAUUUCUUAAGAAUACUGAUGGUAUAGUAUGUCGGAAAGAGGAUACUACAGGAUCAAGAACAUUUGGCAUACAUUUGGUUUGUUGCAGACUUGGAAAGUGCACUAUGCGUUUUUUUUUCGGUCGACCUAAACGUCGAUCGGGUGACGGUUCAACAAUACCAUCAAGCGUUUUGCAGACCUAAGAGAGAAAGAGCCGCCAUGGCAACACAUCUGAUCGAUGAGCCUUGCAUGGAAAAGGUGUUGUUUCUGAAAAAGUCAAUCUGUGAGCAAGAUUAAAAAUUCAACACAGAUGCAGAUAAAGAUAUGCAUCCCGACACAUUUCUAGAGAAAUCGCCAAAGAACAAGCACAACAGCGGGUCUUGUUAUAGCCUGUUUGAAAGCCCUACAGAUGUAAAGAUAUUGUUAUCAAAGAUACUGAUAACAACUUGAUAUCAUGUCGAUUUCGAUAAGGUGUGUCGGAUCAACGUGGUUUUGAUUUUGGUUUGAUGUUUUUUACCGAUUUCCGGCGGUGACGGAAAAUGAGACCUAUGUUUUUUUAUUUUUUUUAUUAUUUCUUUAUUUCGUUUCAUUACCUUAAAAUGUCGAUUAUGAUUAAUUCGGUUAUAUAAAUGACGUAAAUCAUGUUAUAAUGAAUGAACAAACACUCCACACGUUGAUGCAUAAAUGUUUAAAAACUAGUAGUAUUCAAUAAACCCUUUCAUGGUGACAUGAACGAUUCAACUACAAUCAUUUUCAUUAGCUUUGCAAUCAUCAUUUUGUUAUGCAUGUUUUUGUAUGGUAUUUCUCAUUCCAUUUGACGCAUUUGAUUCUAAAAUACGAAUAAUUUGCCGACAGCGAGACGAUCUAAAAACGCUUGCCUUCCUAUAAACCAAUUUUUAAACCUGUUCAAUUCCUGAGUGAUCAAAUACUUGAUUAAACAUACUCCGACAUGCAUACAAAUACCCCUAUUUUAUAGACGUAGACCGAAUAUGCAAACCUCUACAAUAGAUCAGAUCAUAUGAUUAAAAUGAUAUGUUAAGUACAUUGAGUAUAAAUUAUUUGUUAUAUGAACUCUUACAUUUUAAUUAGAUUAUUUGACUUGCGUGCGUAUUAAUAUAAUGUUUAUCUUUCUUUUCCAUUCGACAAACAUUUUAUAUUCUUAAAUAAUUUUUGCAUUACUGACACUUACAGAGUCAUGCAUAUACAAUGAUUCUUUGCAAUAUGUAACCAAACUAGGCAUUAAACUAACAGUAGCACAUGAGUGCAUAUUUAAGUAGAUUUUUUAAGCUCACUGUAUAUGCGUUUUGUAUAGACUGUCUGAUAAACGGAUAUUUGUUUAAAUAAUUAUAAUGUUAUGAGAACUGUUGUAGCUAUCUCGUAAUAUAGUUGCACAAAAUAAGUUAAAAGAGACAGUAUACACGUAAAUUACAAUGAAUAUAACAUACUUUCAUAGUCAGGUCUUUAACAACCCUAAAAACAAACUUUGAUUAAUCGCUUACAAACAUGAAUUAUUUCGAAUUACUUAACUUAAGUAGAUGUUUUUAUACUUAUUCGUUAGUUAUGCUUAUUUUUGGGUAAUGAUCUCAUUUUGUAUUAUAUAUGCAUUGAUUUAGCUUAAAAGUUUGUAUUGAAUAUUUUUUGUUAAUGUUGACCAUUGCCUUCAUGAGCUUUUGUUAAUAAAUAUUGAAUCAUGAAA